rnacentral:lncRNA from 1 species
GCUUUUUUGGUAGAGGGAUUUGAUACUAUGACGGUGAUGCACUUUUGAUUGAAACUAUGAUGAUGAUGUACGUUAUUUUCAAUUUUUUCAUGCUAGUUCAAUGCAAAACCGUGGUUGAACAGUGGCUGACAACAAACGCGCGGCCGUUUUCAGAUUUUUACAUCUUUGGUUUGGACCAUCUAUUGAAGUUGCUCUUUUGGACCAUCAAUUUGGACCAUCUGUUGAAGUUGAGCUUUUUUCGGACCUUCAAAAUGCAUUUUUUGACGGUCCAAAUUUUACAUUUUCGGUUUUGGACCGCCAAAAUUUGAACUAUCUAUUGAAGAUGCGUUAAAGAGGCACAUGUUGUGGUGUUGAAGGCGACUAAGGACGAGUUGAAAACUAACUCAAUCAAAGGC